rnacentral:lncRNA from 1 species
GAACAAAGCAAGUCCAGUUUAUUCUUAUUAGUUAGUUUGUCUUUUGCCGUUCAUCAAGCGACAACCAACAAUUUGAUAACUGUUAUGAUUUAUAGUAUCGAGAAAUUUAAAUAAGAGUAGAAUUUAAUAACCGUAGGAAGCAAAUAACAUUAAUAUAAGGGAGAGAGUUUAUUAUAAGGAGGAAAAAAAAAAUGUAAUGAUUCUUUGAUUAUAAACUCUUGUUCUUGUUUUUUAGUGUACAAAAGAGUGAGAUGAGUGAUGGUAUUUAUAGUGAACAACAAUACAUAAAAUAACAAAGAUGGUGCUUAAUUUGGUAAAUGAGUGGGUGAUCAUAGUGUUUGAUGAGUAGAUGAUCAUAGUGCUUGAGUUGGUAAAGGAUUGGAUGAUCAUAGUGCUUGAGUGUGGUAAAAAAGUGGAUGAUCAUUUCAAUGCUUAUCUUAUAACACUUCCCCUUGAUCAUCCAUCUUGUAUUACGUGGUGCCUCGUUAAAAACCUAGUCAUGGAAAAGUAAAAAGAGUACAACUACGUAGUAAAAGUAAAAAGAGUACAACUACGUAAGCUCCCCCUCGAAUGAAUAGUCAUAGAACCUUUAGAACAAUGAUAGAUUUUCAUCUCUCAAAUUGUAACAUUCUCUUUGGGUGUCUAUCUUUUGUAUGUUCUUUGUUGCCUCGUUAAAACCUUGUCAUGGAAAAACCCAAUGGGAUAAAAAAAACCAUGAUAAGGAAAAAGAGUACAACCACACUUACUAUCAUAUUUCUUUCUCUGGAAACAAUAUCUUCAGGAUAUGCAUUCCAAUCAACUCUCUUCAGAGAAUUAAGCUUAAGAGAAUAAACUCUAUUCAUUUCUAUUAUGAUAUCUAGGGCCUUUAGACUUCUUGUCCAUAAUUCUCUUUUGACUUAGACAAUAGUUUAUUGGUCUAUUUGGAUUUCAAACCAAAUUUCUUACAUAUAAUCGUAUAGAAAUUCGUCUCGUACAUACGAAUUAUUCAUUUGUAACUAUAGAAGUUACUAUUAUGAUUUUCUUUCUUUUCAUAUGAAAUUACAUCUUUCAGUAAUGAAAAAGAUUAAUAAUUUUCUUAAAUAACACUCUUACGUAUGGUAUUUCAGGACCAAACAUAUACGAGCGUCUUAAAUAAAAUACUUUAAGGAUCUUUAUGAUAACAUCUCAGUUUUAGAUCUCCAGUUUAGAAUACAUAAAAACAAUAUAGUAUUGUCAAGAGUUUUUUGUAUUACGUGGUGUCUCGUUAAAAACCUAGUCAUGGAAA